UACGGAGGAUGCGAGCGUUAUCCGGAUUUAUUGGGUUUAAAGGGUGCGUAGGCGGGAUGCCAAGUCAGCGGUAAAAAUGCGGUGCUCAACGCCGUCGAGCCGUUGAAACUGGCGUUCUUGAGUGGGCGAGAAGUAUGCGGAAUGCGUGGUGUAGCGGUGAAAUGCAUAGAUAUCACGCAGAACUCCGAUUGCGAAGGCAGCAUUCCGGCGCCCUACUGACGCUGAGGCACGAAAGCGUGGGUAUCGAACAGG
rnacentral:rRNA from 1 species